rnacentral:tRNA from 1 species
GCCCCUGUAGCUCAACGGGAAGAGUGCUGAUCUGCUAAAUCAAAGGUUGCGGGUUCAAAUCCCGUCAGGGGCA